rnacentral:rRNA from 1 species
GAACGCUGGCGGCAUGCCUUACACAUGCAAGUCGAACGGCAGCACGGGAGCAAUCCUGGUGGCGAGUGGCGAACGGGUGAGUAAUAUAUCGGAACGUGCCCAGUCGUGGGGGAUAACGUAGCGAAAGCUACGCUAAUACCGCAUACGAUCUAUGGAUGAAAGCGGGGAUCGCAAGACCUCGCGCGAUUGGAGCGGCCGAUAUCAGAUUAGGUAGUUGGUGAGGUAAAGGCUCACCAAGCCGACGAUCUGUAGCUGGUCUGAGAGGACGACCAGCCACACUGGGACUGAGACACGGCCCAGACUCCUACGGGAGGCAGCAGUGGGGAAUUUUGGACAAUGGGCGCAAGCCUGAUCCAGCAAUGCCGCGUGCAGGAUGAAGGCCUUCGGGUUGUAAACUGCUUUUGUACGGAACGAAACGGUGAGCUCUAAUACAGUUUGCUAAUGACGGUACCGUAAGAAUAAGCACCGGCUAACUCCGUG